CCUACGGGCGGCAGCAGUGGGGAAUAUUGCACAAUGGGGGAAACCCUGAUGCAGCGACGCCGCGUGAGUGAAGAAGUAUCUCGGUACGUAAAGCUCUAUCAGCAGGGAAGAUAAUGACGGUACCUGACCAAGAAGCCCCGGCUAACUACGUGCCAGCAGCCGCGGUAAUACGUAGGGGGCAAGCGUUAUCCGGAUUUACUGGGUGUAAGGGGAGCGUAGACGGCAGCGCAAGUCUGGAGUGAAAUGCCGGGGCCCAACCCCGGAACUGCUCUGGAAACUGUGAAGCUGGAGUGCAGGAGAGGUAAGCGGAAUUCCUGGUGUAGCGGUGAAAUGCGUAGAUAUCAGGAGGAACACCGGCGGCGAAGGCGGCUUACUGGACUGUAACUGACGUUGAGGCUCGAAGGCGUGGGGAGCAAACAGGAUUAGAUACCCGGGUAGUC
rnacentral:rRNA from 1 species